GUUAAGGACUGUUUGUGGAAUGUUUUGUUAACAUGUAAAGGUGGUGGGAAAGUUAAAAGAAAAUCAUAGAAUCAUACAAUCACAAAGGUUGGAAAAGACCCACAGGAUCAUCCAGUCCAACCAUUCACCCAUCACCAAUGGUUCUCACUAAACCAUGACCCUCAACACAAUGUUCAAACACUCCUUGAACACCUAAAGGGUCGGUGACUCCACCACCUCUCUGGGCAGCCCAUUCCAGUGCCUCACCACCUUUCAGAGAAGUAGUACUUCCUAACAUCCAGCCUGAACCUCCGCUGGCGCAGUUUGAAGCCACUCCCUCUAGUCCUAAACUUGUGAAUGUAUAUAAGGGAUGUUAGAACCUGUAAUAAACAACUUGGAUCAUUCACAUCUGAGUCUGUGCCUCAGAUGCUGCAAUACUGUCUCUGCCCUUCCUAAAUUUAUACACAGAAAAGAUAUGUUGAACUUCUGUCUUCAAUCCUUCACUCUCAGACCUAUUCAUAUAGUACUCACAGUAACAUCCAGCUUUUCCAGUGCAAAUAGCUGGUGAUCAACCUGCACAGACCACAGCAGCUUGUCUGCCCCUUCCAUGAGUUUCAAUGUCCCUGAAGAGGAAAAAAGAAGAUUGUCCUGAAAAUAUUAAAAGGGAACACGAUGUCUGCUAACACUGGGCCCCACAUACUCUUUCAGCACUCAUGGUCUGCACAUGGAGGGGAGAGCAUAGUGCAGACAGUAGCUGACAGCAGUCUCAUUUCUGGGAGGGACAGUAGUUGAUUGUAUUUUCAGCAGUAACAGGAAACAGGAACAAAUGCCAGCAGCUCUGCUAAUUGGCUUGCACCCUAAGAAGAAAACUGUUCAAAACAUGAUCCCUGGGUACAGUACAUCAACAGCUUUCACAUGAGACCACAUAAACUAGAAUCCUCUCACCAUGUCCCACAGAUCACGCAACCUCAAGAGAGGAGGUAUCAGCUGAAAAGUUACUGGCUAGUAGCAUAGAAGUGGCCUCCUGAAUGCUAAAACGAUUCUAAACACUUACCUCAUACCAUUUUCCUAUUAUCCAGAGGUACUGUGAAAGUACCAGGUAAGGUGCUGGAAACUAGUGGGAGAUGCAGAAGGUCAUAUAACAUAAACAUGAACCUAUCCUCACUGUGCCCUCCCACCUCAGUAAGGCUCAUGAAGGAAUCAUGGCACGACUGGAAGCUUUGCCCAUUGAGGCAGCUUCACAGUUAAGGCCCAAACAAGAAUCAGAAACUCCCUAGUAGGACAUCAUAGGGCAGACAGACAUCUUGCCUAUACAGGCCAGGCUGCCUAUCUAGGAAUACAGAUACCUAGUCUCCAUACAGCUGCUCAUUGAACAGAAUCCCCCCAUUCAGUUCAUUAGAUUUAGUCUGUCCUAUCACUUCUCAGUCUGCAAUGGAACAGAAAAACAUGGCUCCAGGCCAGCAUGAGGCAAGCUCUUCGCUACCAAUACUUGAGUUUCAGCAUCCAUUUCCUUUAUUGCUUUUGGAAACAACUCAAAUCUCUUCAAGUACAAAGGCAUAUCUCUGCUAUGGUUUACAGGCUCUUGUUUACAUGAACUGCACUGCUAAAUUGGCAUCUCAAACAGUUGUUUAAGUAUUGGGUAAGCAUGCAGCUUAGGAGAUGCUUAGCAGAUGCUAACUCUAGUUUCAAGCUUUCGGUUUUGGCCCAAGCUUUAAAAGUUCUAUCCCCAUAGGCCAUGGUGCCAUAUGAGUAAUAAAUGUUUGUAAAAUGCUUUGAAUGAUGAAGGGAGUAUAAAAGCAAAAAAAGUCAUACUAAGACACUGAAAAAAAAAAAGAAAACAAACAAACACGUCAGCCAAAGGAGCUGGAGUCAAAUUCUUUUGCCUGCAUCACGAAAAAUUUCUGAAGCCCAGUUCCCUCUUCUUUCAAAAUCAAAAGCACUGUGCACUUGUUCCCUACUUAUUAUUAAUUAAUGUUAAUUAAGGACAAGCCUUGGGCUUUCUCAGAGGCCCUUCUUCCAGGACAGUGGUAGGACUCACCAUCAAGUGUACAUAGGGCAAAGAGACCCGAGCCAUUACCCACACUGGAGCAGCCUGUAAAUGCAGAAGAGAACUACAGUUGAAACCUAUUUAUGAGGAUUGUUCCUUCCCUCUCCUGAAAAAAAAAAAAAAAAGAUUCAAAACAACAAGCUGACCCAUACUACCCUCUUUUUUGCCCAGUCUUGAAACUUUGCGUAACAGGUAUCUGCAGUCUUGCAACCAAUCCUACCUCAUGCCAGCUUUUAUUUGUAAGGCACUACUGUCAGUGUAAACCCAAGAAUCCAAUAGCUUUAGUUGGCAUUGAUAUGGGCAUGUCUGGCUCUGCUGACUGCUUCUAGGAGUUUUUUUAUGCCAUAUGUAUGCAGGCCUUCAGCAGUUCUGGUUGCAGUUAACAUCAUCAUACCCUCUCUAGGUUCCAAAAAUGCACAAACACAGGCACAACAAUCACAAAGGGACAAUGUGGAUAAUAGCCUAAGCUAAAUGAAUAUUACAACUAUACCCCCACUGUUUCCUUCAGGGAUAGGAAUGUGGCCUUCAGUUGUUCCAGAAACAAGAGGAAAAAACAGAUCCCACUAGAAGGACUACAUUUCAGUCAAAGCGGCACAAAAGCACCUUCAUGGCAGCUCCUGAGUCUGUUGAGAUCAUGCUACCAAUAUUAUCAUUUCCACUAGAUGAAAACUGCACAGAAACUGUGGUUACCACUCAGCAAACACUGCUCAGAUGUUACAGAGCUCUUACUUUGGGAGUAGAUUAGGUAUCUGUCUCAGUGCUCAAAGCUCUGGCUUUACUAGUUCCUACAGCUGUGAACUUCCUGCAAGCAGUUCCUCUCUGAAGCCUGUGUAUCACACCACUGUGCACAGGACUAACUAAACCCAAAGACAAGACUUCCCUGACCACCACUUCAGUAAACUUUCUACCUGUCCACUAGUCAGAAGGGACAUGCAAGAUAAAAGUUUUGGAAGUGAUAUCACAGUUGGUUGCGGAAGGCUGGAGCUGUACUCAACUACAGCUGCAUUUUAUGUUUGCAGUGACAAUGUCAAAGGAGGCACAGUCUCCUUGAGGUCUGCAGCAACCCAGGAAACCUGUCAGUCAGUGGCAAGCCAGAAGAGUUGAAAGCAGUUUCAUGCUUUCCCCAGACAGCUUUCCCAAAAUGACACUGUACUGCAAGCCUACCUCCGCCACCCAUGCAUAGCUCCAGGCUACAACACCCCAGAACACAGACUACCCUAUUUCUACAGGGUCAUUUAUAGCAAACAGUUAGCCAGUUGGGUGCUACACUGCCUGUAGUUGACAUUCAUCUAGACUCACUCUAUUCUGAAUGAUCUGCUGUGCCCUCUACAAACUGGUCAGCAUGACACACUUUAGCUGUCUCAUUACUGCUGUUCCAGCACCAAGGGGCUUUUUACAAACUUCUCAUCCCUUAUUCUGCAGGUUUUGUAUGUAGUGAAAUAACUGAUUUCAUGCUCCAGUGAUCAUGGUACUUGCAGCAGCUGAGAUGUUGAAAAUAUGACAAGCUUAGCAACUGGGUAGGAAUUGUACUCUGUGGAGAAGGGAAAGGGUGGGAGGGGGAGGUUCGGUCAGUUGUCCUUCUCCCUCAGCUCUAAUCAUACUGGACAGCCUAAUUCCUCCUCAGACAGCACUGCAGAUGAUAAUACAAAUGCAGAUCAAUUCCAGCCAGUUGCAGACAAGGAGGGAAAGUGACCCGUGCUUUGAAUCUUCUUCUUCCUUGCAUUAUGGAGCGUAUGGGCAAGGGAGUGUGAAACUUGUAUUCUCUGGAUGUACCAAAACAGUGUUCAGCAUAUUCAGCCAGUUGCAUGAGGGAAGCACUAGUAGCACGUAAGAAAUGCCUGAAUACAAAAGCAGUAGGUUAGGGCUGAGAGAAACCAGCAGUUACAGAUAACAGCUGAACAGUAUAAACUGAAAGGAGACAAAGGACAGCAAUAUAAAUGAAAUAUGGAAGCAGCUCUGGAGAGGUUGGUAUCCACAGGUAAAGGAAGGGCGAGAUAUUGCUGCUAGAGGAAUCAAGUGUUCAAAUGCAAGAAAUUAAAAAUGAGACUGUGGAAAGGAAGAGGUGCAUCUAGGUAAUUAGGAAGAGGGCAGAAGCUGCAGUCAUGCAAAAGCAAGAAUCUAGUAUAUCUGCAGGAGCAGGGCUUCAGACAUUCAAGACGAGUAAAUGCAAGCAAGUGGAGGAUACAGGAAAACUUCUGCUGGGUGAAGAAUAACCAAGGGAAGGUCCAAAGUCUGUAGAAAGUUCAAAAGCAAACAUUUAGCUGUUCUUCAGAGGCAGACCAACGGGAGAUGAGAUCCUUCUGUUCUAGGAUCUAACCCCCAAAAUUUUUAAUUUUCAGCCACUGGAAAUCUGAUUUCGCACUGGACUGACAUAUUGAACAAAUAUCAGAAACAACUGUUGAGGCAGGGACCCCAAGCUCCUAACCUCUCACCUCGGCCAAUGCUACCAAUCAGAUGAGUGGAAACAUUCUUGUUGUGAAUCCGGCCAGAUGUUUGGUGGAGAAUAACGUCUCGAAGAGGGGCCUCCCUAGGGAGAAAAAACGCAGGCAUCAGGAAAGGUUAGGAGAUCAUGCCUCGUCCUGUGUCAGAACAAUCUGAAGAGCAGAGUACUCCAGAACUCUCCAAGUCUAGAGAUGGAUAGAGUCUGUGCACAGGCUGACCCUUUAAUGAAUUACUCAGGAACAGUAUGCUAUCCCCAAAGCAAAAAAUGACAGAUUGCUCUAAGUAGGGGGCAUUUCAAUCAUCACUAUUAGGAUUUGUCAGCAAGAAGGAUUACUUGCUGACAAAAAGCAAUGAAAAGAAAACACACCACCCCAGGAAUGACAGAAACUUGCUAAUGAUUAAAAAAUAAGACCUAGUGAUUUGUAGCAUCAUAAAACUAGAAAGAACUCAAGUAAGUCAAUAAAAUAUCUAUUCUAAACAAGGAGAUUGGUGAUUUUUUUAACUUAUUUUCUGUGACACAUGCCUGAAUGCUAUUCAUUCAGGAAAACUGUCUGUCUAUGGUUGAACAAGUGAGUCAGAGAUCAUGUCUGGGCGUGGGUUCUGGCCAGGGAGGUACUUCAUUAAGGUCUUUCAUUAAGGUACUUUCAUUAAGGUCUCUAAGACAUCAAGAUUUGCCCAGCUUCCAUCCUAUAGGUUUUCUGGGUCUUCCUUAACGUCCCACAGAACAGCACAGGAGUGCGUGAACAGGGAAAAUAACCUCACUGCUCGUUCUGAUUUUCCUGCUUGUAAUUUACAGCAGUGGCUGCCAGGUCUUUGUUAGGAAAUCCUGCCCUACCUGAAAGAAACCAGUAGUGUCUUCCCAGGACUUCAGAUUAAUUGGCCUUGGCUCAGCCUUACAGAUGCCACCCUUCCCAUAAUUGGACAGCUCCCCUGACUACUCCUCUUUAUUGAGAUCUAUGUCACUCAUUCCUUGGCCAACCUGAGAAGAAGAGCAGGACACAACGAAAACAGUAUUCAUCUCUAGGAUGAAUUCAUGGGCACUCGGGAAACUUAAGCCAUGAACUCCCAGCAGGUAGUUCAUCACAGGUACUGGCUUCACUAGGAUGACAGCAUUCCCCCUCAGAAAGACAGUGGUGAUGGUGCCCUCUUGUGAUAGGCAUCUACAGUAGAAUCUCCACAUCUACUCCACACAGACACUGUUCACCUGCUUGGGGAAGACCUGUCUCUCCCCUCUAUCGUGGGUUGUUGCUCAGAGUCCCAGGUGCACAGCAGAAUGGCAUAACCGCAGCCUGGCUGGGACACCAUCAUCUCUGGCAAGCCAUCAGGGCCUGGAUUCACAGAAAGGCUAUCCACCUGUACUGACACAGGAUAGACAAAGAUAGAGUAGAACUUAGAACCUUACGUAACUUAAAAGUUUCUACUGUGCAACUCGUACCUAAAUCUGACUACAGCAGAUUUCCUCAUAGAAGCUGAGCAUGAGCUGAACAAAGCCAGAUACAGGAAAAUAUCCAAGUAAAAGGCAUCUUCACCUAGCAAAAGCCACUUAAGAACACCCUUAGCGGAAAAUGUUCUCUAGUCAAGUGAGAGAAGCUAAUGGCUGCCCAGAACAUCACACCAGCUUCCCUGCAUGCACAGGGUAACUGCUGGGCAAAUCUCCUUUCAAGCCAUCAAGAUAACAAUGACUUUGUUGAUAGGACUGAGAUUUCGUGCCUCUUCCCAUAUCCUUACCUGACCUUCCAGUAACCAUUUCUUUAGCAGGAUCAGCUGCCCACAGACAUGGUCUGAAUUCUCCGAUAAGUCCUCCCAGCGGAAGGCACGCACCACUCUGUCAGUGUAACCUACAACCAGCUCACACUUCCCAUCUCCAUCUAUGUCACUGAUCAGCAUGACCUUGGUGUUGGCAGGAAUAUGUUGCUUGAACACUGGCUUCUGCUCUUCCGCUAACUCAUGGUGGCCUGAAGCAUCUGGGUGCUUUGAAGGGGAAGUCAGAUCAAAAAGAUGAAACCAACCUUCUGCACUCACUGCCACUGCAAGAUUCUUUCCUUUAUUGCAUACAUCUCCC
rnacentral:lncRNA from 1 species